GAAGGUUUUNNANCAUGCCUCAGGACGAAAGCCGGCGGGCGUGCUUACACAUGCACGUCGAGCCGGUAAGGCCUUCGGGGUACNCGAGCGGUGAACGGGUGAGUAACACGUGAGCAACCUGCCCCUGACUCCGGGAUAAGCNGUGGAAACGCCGUCUAAUACCGGAUACGACCCUCCUCUCGCAUGGUGGGGGGUGGAAAGUUUUUUCGGUNGGGGAUGGGCUCGCGGCCUAUCAGCUUGUUGGUGGGGUAACGGCCUACCAAGGCGAUUACGGGUAGCCGGCCUGAGAGGGCGACCGGCCACACUGGGACUGAGACACGGCCCAGACUCCUGCGGGAGGCAGCAGUGGGGAAUAUUGCGCAAUGGGUGAAAGCCNGACGCAGGGACGCCGCGUGGGGGAUGACGNCCUUCGGGUUGUAAACCUCUUUUACCACUCACGCAGGCCCCACGUUUUCGUGGGGUUGACGGUAGGUGGGGAAUAAGGACCGGCUAACUACGUGCCAGCAGCCGCGGUAAUACGUAGGGUCCGAGCGUUGUCCGGAAUUAUUGGGCGUAAAGAGCUCGUAGGCGUUGUUNCAU
rnacentral:rRNA from 1 species